rnacentral:rRNA from 2 species
UGGGGAAUAUUAGACAAUGGGCGCAAGCCUGAUCCAGCCAUGCCGCGUGAGUGAUGAAGGCCCUAGGGUUGUAAAGCUCUUUCACCGGUGAAGAUAAUGACGGUAACCGGAGAAGAAGCCCCGGCUAACUUCGUGCCAGCAGCCGCGGUAAUACGAAGGGGGCUAGCGUUGUUCGGAUUUACUGGGCGUAAAGCGCACGUAGGCGGACUUUUAAGUCAGGGGUGAAAUCCCGGGGCUCAACCCCGGAACUGCCUUUGAUACUGGAAGUCUUGAGUAUGGUAGAGGUGAGUGGAAUUCCGAGUGUAGAGGUGAAAUUCGUAGAUAUUCGGAGGAACACCAGUGGCGAAGGCGGCUCACUGGACCAUUACUGACGCUGAGGUGCGAAAGCGUGGGGAGCAAACAGG